UACAGAGGGUGCGAGCGUUAAUCGGAAUUACUGGGCGUAAAGCGCACGUAGGUGGCGACGUAAGUCGGGUGUGAAAGCCCCGGGCUCAACCUGGGAAUGGCAUUUGGGACUGCAAGGCUUGAGUGCGGCAGAGGAGACUGGAAUUCCCGGUGUAGCAGUGAAAUGCGUAGAUAUCGGGAGGAAUACCGAUGGCGAAGGCAGGUCUCUGGGCUGACACUGACGCUCAUGCACGAAAGCGUGGGGAGCAAACAGG
rnacentral:rRNA from 1 species